CACGUAGGGUGCGAGCGUUGUCCGGAAUUAUUGGGCGUAAAGAGCUCGUAGGCGGUGUGUCGCGUCGGCCGUGAAAACCUGCAGCUUAACUGUGGGCUUGCGGUCGAUACGGGCAUCACUGGAGUUCGGCAGGGGAGACUGGAAUUCCUGGUGUAGCGGUGAAAUGCGCAGAUAUCUGGAGGAACACCGGUGGCGAAGGCGGCAUCCUGGACCGACACUGACGCUGAGGCGCGAAAGCUAGGGGAGCAAACAGG
rnacentral:rRNA from 1 species